CCCUUUGGGGUGUGACUGCGUACCUUUUGUAUAAUGGGUCAGCGACUUAUAUUCUGUAGCAAGGUUAACCGAAUAGGGGAGCCGGAGGGAAACCGAGUCUUAAUUGGGCGUUAAGUUGCAGGGUAUAGACCCGAAACCCGGUGAUCUAGCCAUGGGCAGGUUGAAGGUUGGGUAACACUAACUGGAGGACCGAACCGACUAAUGUUGAAAAAUUAGCGGAUGACCUGUGGCUGGGGGUGAAAGGCCAAUCAAACCGGGAGAUAGCUGGUUCUCCCCGAAAGCUAUUUAGGUAGCGCCUCGUGAAUUCAUCUCCGGGGGUAGAGCACUGUUUCGGCUAGGGGGCCAUCCCGGCUUACCAACCCGAUGCAAACUGCGAAUACCGGAGAAUGUUAUCACGGGAGACACACGGCGGGUGCUAACGUCCGUCGUGAAGAGGGAAACAACCCAGACCGCCAGCUAAGGUCCCAAAGUCAUGGUUAAGUGGGAAACGAUGUGGGAAGGCCCAGACAGCCAGGAUGUUGGCUUAGAAGCAGCCAUCAUUUAAAGAAAGCGUAAUAGCUCACUGGUCGAGUCGGCCUGCGCGGAAGAUGUAACGGGGCUAAACCAUGCACCGAAGCUGCGGCAGCGACACUCAGGUGUUGUUGGGUAGGGGAGCGUUCUGUAAGCCUGCGAAGGUGGCCUGUGAGGGUUGCUGGAGGUAUCAGAAGUGCGAAUGCUGACAUAAGUAACGAUAAAGCGGGUGAAAAGCCCGCUCGCCGGAAGACCAAGGGUUCCUGUCCAACGUUAAUCGGGGCAGGGUGAGUCGACCCCUAAGGCGAGGCCGAAAGGCGUAGUCGAUGGGAAACGGGUUAAUAUUCCCGUACUUGGUGUUACUGCGAAGGGGGGACGGAGAAGGCUAUGUUGGCCGGGCGACGGUUGUCCCGGUUUAAGCGUGUAGGUGUGUGUUCCAGGUAAAUCCGGUUCACUUUAACACUGAGGCGUGAUGACGAGGCACUACGGUGCUGAAGCAACAAAUGCCCUGCUUCCAGGAAAAGCCUCUAAGCAUCAGGUAACAUCAAAUCGUACCCCAAACCGACACAGGUGGUCAGGUAGAGAAUACCAAGGCGCUUGAGAGAACUCGGGUGAAGGAACUAGGCAAAAUGGUGCCGUAACUUCGGGAGAAGGCACGCUGACACGUAGGUGAAGUGAUUUACUCAUGGAGCUGAAGUCAGUCGAAGAUACCAGCUGGCUGCAACUGUUUAUUAAAAACACAGCACUGUGCAAACACGAAAGUGGACGUAUACGGUGUGACGCCUGCCCGGUGCCGGAAGGUUAAUUGAUGGGGUCAGCGCAAGCGAAGCUCCUGAUCGAAGCCCCGGUAAACGGCGGCCGUAACUAUAACGGUCCUAAGGUAGCGAAAUUCCUUGUCGGGUAAGUUCCGACCUGCACGAAUGGCGUAAUGAUGGCCAGGCUGUCUCCACCCGAGACUCAGUGAAAUUGAACUCGCUGUGAAGAUGCAGUGUACCCGCGGCAAGACGGAAAGACCCCGUGAACCUUUACUAUAGCUUGACACUGAACAUUGAGCCUUGAUGUGUAGGAUAGGUGGGAGGCUUUGAAGUGUGG
rnacentral:rRNA from 1 species